rnacentral:rRNA from 1 species
ACUGCUCAGUAACACGUGGACAACCUGCCCUUAGGUUGGGUAUAAACCCGGGAAACUGGGUAUAAUACCCGAUAGGUCUCGAUUGCUGGAAUGCAUCGAGAUUUAAAGCUCCGGCGCCUAAGGAUGGGUCUGCGGCCUAUCAGGUAGUAGUGGGUGUAGCGUACCUACUAGCCUACGACGGGUACGGGUUGUGAGAGCAAGAGCCCGGAGAUGGAUUCUGAGACACGAAUCCAGGCCCUACGGGGUGCAGCAGGCGCGAAAACUUUACAAUGCUGGCAACAGCGAUAAGGGAACCUCGAGUGCCAGGUUACAAAUCUGGCUGUCGAGAUGCCUAAAAAGCAUUUCAUAGCAAGGGCCGGGCAAGACCGGUGCCAGCCGCCGCGGUAACACCGGCGGCUCGAGUGGUAACCGUUAUUAUUGGGUCUAAAGGGUCUGUAGCCGGCCGGAUAAGUCUCUUGAGAAAUCUGGCAGCUUAACUGUCAGGCUUUCAGGAGAUACUGUCUGGCUCGAGGCCGGGAGAGGUGAGAGGUACUUCAGGGGUAGGGGUGAAAUCUUGUAAUCCUUGAAGGACCACCAGUGGCGAAGGCGUCUCACCAGAACGGACCUGACGGCAAGGGGCGAAAGCUAGGGGCACGAACCGGAUUAGAUACCCGGGUAGUCCUAGCCGUAAACGAUACUCGCUAGGUGUCGGCCACGGUGCGACCGUUGUCGGUGCCGUAGGGAAGCCGUGAAGCGAGCCACCUGGGAAGUACGGCCGCAAGGCUGAAACUUAAAGGAAUUGGCGGGGGAGCAC